AGGCGGGGAAACAGGAAGCAGCAGCCCAGCUGGUUUCCUGUUUUCACCGGAGAUCGUCUAUUAAAGCAAGAGGAACCACUCGGGGUGUGUUGCAGCAGGGACACGUGGAAAAGUUUCAGCCUUCGAGGACUGGAGUUUGAGACCCCUGGUGUAGAGGAAGUUUCUGAUCAACUCACUGAUCCGGAUGAGUUUGCAGAAAACCGGCUGAAGGCUGUUUACAAUCUUACCUCUAGAGGGCGACAUUACACCAUAACUGCUGAAGAAGGUCGCAGAUCCGUUUUUUUUUUCAUGAGGAAUCCACCUGUUGUGCAGCUCUACCCAGCUUACAGUGAUGAUGACGCUCAUGUCCGCAUCCAUAUGCGAUGAUAUAGCCUCAGGGGCUUCACAGCAGCGCUACAACCUGGGGGUCAGGGACAGCAUGCCAAAGCCUGAGGAGAGCUUGGGGGCUUGAAUCUGGCUCCGGUCCCAUGUUUUUCCACUGGUCUUAAAGAACCCCAGGUUUGGCCACUGCAGCCAGUGCCUCUGGUGGUGCCUGGGGCUGUCGCUCCUAAUGACAUCUCAGCAUCCAAGGCUCCUCCAUCCUCAACACUGUUCAUGCAGAUGUGUACUAGAUCUCCCCACUGACACAACACUAUCCAUGGAUUAAACCAGCAGCCAGCCAUUUGAGAGGGUGGUAAGUAAGAUUUCAUCUGCAGAAAAAUGGCUUCACAUUAGCUGCAGGGGGACUGAUCACUAAUACCUCAGUUUUAGUGAUGUGCUGCCCUGCAUUUAAAACACAAAACUCCACAUUUGUUGACAUAAAGACAAUUUUUAUCUGCAGCCAAACAAGGCAGUGCAUAAAUUAGUCCGUCUGCUUUUCACACAUAACAUAUUAUAUUAACAGUUUGGCUCAUUGAGGUUGGGACAGACAGACAUACACGUGCACCUGCGGUAAAUAUGACCUUAUAAAAGAGGAGAAAGUAGAGCAACAGUUUUAACGGUAUUCAUUUCCUCCCCUCCCCUCCUGCUGUACCUGUACACACCUUCCUCAUUGAUUCAGUCAAUAUCAAAGUUCAUCUCUGAGUGCAUUCAUUAGCAUUAGUUUACAUCAUUGCAACCAAUGAAAUCCCAUUAAGAUAUUAGUUUCUUGUUAUAUUUAGCACAAGUCUUUUUGUAAUCAAUCUGUCAGCACAGCAAAGACAGAGACGGCGAUCAGAGGAUGAUCGCCCAAAGUAAAAUCUGAAUUCUGCGUCUUUCUUGCGUGUGAGGCUGCUGUCAAGUUGUCAUCCAGUUCCUCUGGACUGAAACAUCCAACAUAUGUUACUAUAAUCAGUUUCACGUUGAAAUAUCUUCACAUGAUGACAUAUAGUCAUGAAGUGAUCUUGCACAACAUUUUGAAAGAUGGAACCCUGAAUGUCGACAUCAUUUCCUCUUAAUCACAGAAAUCUGAUAUCUGUUGGAUCCACAUUUGUAUCUUCAGUUGCAAUCGGCUGCAUUUUCCUGUCAUGUUACUGCUGAAUAAUUAAAUUACAUAUCAAAUGCAAUCUGUUAAGAUUAAAAGGAUAACUGAGUGGGUGAUGCUAAA